GGCACCGUAGCUUAGGGGGUAGUAUAGCAGCUUCCGAAGCUGGAGGCCGCGGGUUCGAAUCCCGCCCAGGGCAAACA
rnacentral:tRNA from 1 species